rnacentral:tRNA from 1 species
GGGGAUUUAGCUCAGUAGUUCGGUGUCUGCCUUGAAAGCAGAAGGUCCCAAGUUCAAUCCCCA